CCUACGGGUGGCAGCAGUGAGGAAUAUUGGUCAAUGGACGGAAGUCUGAACCAGCCACGCCGCGUGAAGGAAGAAGGCUCUAUGAUUUGUAAACUGCUUUUGUAGAGGCGUAAACCUGAACACGUGUAUAUAGUUGAAAGUACUCUAUGAAUAAGCCUCGGCUAACUCCGUGCCAGCAGCCGCGGGAAUACUGAGGAUUCAAGCGUUAUCCGGAUUUAUUGGGGGUAAAGGGUGCGUAGGUGGGCAUUUAAGUCGGAGGUGAAAUGUCGUGGCUCAAACCCCGGCUUGCGGUCGAAACUGGGUGCCUUGAGUGUGCGAGAGGUAGGCGGAAUGCGUGGUGUAGCGGUGAAAUGCAUAGAUAUCACGCAGAACCCCGAUUGCGAAGGCAGCAUACCGGCCCCCAACUGACGCUGAGGCACGAAAGCGUGGGGAUCAAACAGGAUUAGAUACCCGGGUAGUC
rnacentral:rRNA from 1 species